UAACGAUACGGGACUCAUCCGAGGCCCCGUAAUCGGAAUGAGUACACUUUAAAUCCUUUAACGAGUAUCCAUUGGAGGGCAAGUCUGGUGCCAGCAGCCGCGGUAAUUCCAGCUCCAAUAGCGUAUAUUAAAGUUGUUGCGGUUAAAAAGCUCGUAGUUGAAUCUGUGUGCCACGCUGUCGGUUCAUCGCUCGCGAUGUUUAACUGACAUGAUUGUGGGACGUCCUACCGGUGGACUUAGCCUCUAUCUCCUCGGAGUUAAGGGCGGUCCAGCUAAUAUCCCAUCGCGGUGCUUUUCAUCGAGUGUCGAGGUGGGCCGGUACGUUUACUUUGAACAAAUUAGAGUGCUCAAAGCAGGCCAUUCUCGCCUGAAUACUGUGUGCAUGGAAUAAUGGAAUAGGACCUCGGUUCUAUUUUGUUGGUUUUCGGAACCCCGAGGUAAUGAUUAAUAGGGACAGAUGGGGGCAUUCGUAUUGCGACGUUAGAGGUGAAAUUCUUGGAUCGUCGCAAGACGGACAGAAGCGAAAGCAUUUGCCAAAAAUGUUUUCAUUAAUCAAGAACGAAAGUUAGAGGUUCGAAGGCGAUCAGAUACCGCCCUAGUUCUAACCAUAAACGAUGCCAGCUAGCGAUCCGCCGAAGUUCCUUUGAUGACUCGGCGGGCAGCUUCCGGGAAACCAAAGCUUUUGGGUUCCGGGGGAAGUAUGGUUGCAAAGCUGAAACUUAAAGGAAUUGACGGAAGGGCACCACCAGGA
rnacentral:rRNA from 1 species